GUCUCAAGAAAUGGGUAGAACUUUUGUAAAAAGGGAAAGGGAGGAUAAAUUGUAGGUAGAACUGAGAUUCACAGUAGGACUGAGCUGAAAGAAGCACCUCAACUACUCACUAUAAUUAAUAGUAAAUUAAUUUUUUUGCCCACUUGAGUUGGGGUACUCUACUGCUUAUGUCCAGGGUAUUCUGAUACACUUCCAUUAACUGUAAUUGUUAAGUCAGAAGAACAUCUGGUUUUCAGAGGCUAUAAAUUCAUAUCAGUUUAAAAGCACAAGUAUAAUCUAAGAGAAAGAAAGCAAAAUUCUAGAUCUGAAGAAAGUGUUAAAUGGGUGGAUUGAUCGAUUGAUUGAUUAAUUGGGGAGUUGCAUGCUCAGAGAGGAAGUCUGAAGUCAAAGGGGAAAUGCAUAGAGAAUGCAGAAAAAAAGUCUUAGUUACCUGGACUCUACAUUAGCAGGACGAAAUGGAAAUUAGUGAAGGAGACAGAGGUGGGGGGAAGCUAAAAAUGCUUCAAAUGCUGCCAUGCAAACUAAGGUCAAGUUUCUGUCACUAUAACAAAUAUCAGAGACAAUCAAAAAUAAGAGAGGUUUACUUUGGCUCACAGUUUGGAGGUUUCAACCUAUGAUCAAUGGGUUCUGUGGCUUUUGGGCCUGUGGCAAGGCAGCACAUUAUGGUGGGGAGCAGGUGGUGGAGCAGACCAUUCACCUCAUGGCCUAGAAGUGAAUUAAAGGAAGAGGAAGGGACUAGGGAUCCCACGGUCCCCUUUGAGGCUGCACCUCUCAAAGACCUAAAGACCUCUCACUAGGCCCCACCUCUUAAAGUUUCCACAUUCCCAACAGAGCCAAGGGUUAGACCAAGCCUUUAACACAUGGGCUAUGGAGGACAUUAAUCCAAACCAUAGCAUAGACCAAGAAGAGGAUUCAAAAAGAAAGGUGUUAAAGUCUGCAUCAGAUUCCACAAAGAAACAAAGUAGGAAAUUACAAAGAUGUGGUUAGGUAGAGAAAACUACAAGGUCAUCAUAGGGAGAAGAUUAAACAGAAACAAAUAUAGUUUUAGUGGAGUGGAGUAGUGGUAACAAAAGCCAGAUAUGAGAUGUGAGUGGAAGAGAGCAUUGAGCAGCAUCGAUGAAGUAAUGGGACCUCCUUGCAGAAGGAUGGUAGUUGUGGAAAAC
rnacentral:lncRNA from 1 species